ACACUAUAGGUGGCGAACGUGCCUCACCGGCCCUGAUCAAGGGGCGCCUCAUGAUGUCCUUGAUGGUGGGCCUCCUGCCGGGAUUGAUUCUCAGUAGAUCGAGGAUGACAUUGGAAAAAUUGAUGGACACGUGGUGAGGAAUUUGAAGGUUGCCCGAGGUGACCUCGUUCUUCAUGCCUGCAAACGAACUGGCCUGGAAAGGGUAACGUCCAGACACCAUGAGGAAGAGCAGAACCCCCAAACACCACACAUCAACGGGAUAAGCUUCAUAUUCGUGCUGUGCAAAGAGUUCUGGGGCACAAUAGGGCCCAGUGCCGCAGAAACCCCGCAGUUUCUGCCCAGGAGUCACUUUGACGGCGAGACUAAAAUCUAUCAGUUUGGAGUUCCCUCUGCAGUCCAACAGGAUGUUCGUGGCUUUAAUGUCUCUGUGGACAACUCGGUUAUCAUGACAGUAAUCCACGGCACGUGCGAUCUGCGUGAAUAUCCUUUGGGCCUCAAUCUCCUCUAAAGGCCCCCGUUCCAGGAUGCGCCUCAGCAGCUCUCCCUCGGAGACGUGCUCCAUCACCAGCAAUCUCCACAGCCGGCUCCUGAUGGAGCAGACUUGGUUGAAGAGGAAGGUGGACAUGCUGAGGCAGGAAAACAAGGAAGUGCAAGAGGAUUGGGCCCUGCUGCAGCACCAGAUGAUGGACCUGCAGCAGAUCUGUGAGGACCAAGAGGAGGAGGCCUGCGACCUCCAGACCCAGGAACUGUCCAAGUGUGCGCACGCCUGUGUGCAACCCUGCACUGAACACCAGCUUGUAGUGAGCAGGAGCGGGAAAGACUGGAGAAGCCCCUGCGGAACGCCAGGAAGCAGAAGCAGCUGGCCUUCCAGGACUGAGCAUUAAGGCUGCAGCAUCAAUUUGAGGAGCUCCAGAUGAGGUCUGAAGAGCUGUGCCUUGAACUGGACCUGGCCAUAGCCCACGAGGAGAGCCUCCUGCAGAAGGAGCUGCUGCACCAGGAGCCACCCGCUGAGCCCCAGGAAACACGGACUUUCUGGGAGGAAUAGUCCUCUUCAGAAUGGGUUUCCCUUGUGUGAACAGGCCCUGAUUCUAUCUAGCCAGUGAGCCAGCCAGGCUGCUUCUGGGUCUGAGUCCCUUUGCUUUUGUGACAACACCCCAUGAGAGAACUGGUGUCUCCUUUGCCACUAAGUGUUCAAGACCAGCCACAGGCUGUGGGUGUGUCCUGCUAAAUCUGCAGUGAGAGAAGGCUGCUGAGCAUCAUUUUCUCUGUGGGUUUUGGUUUUGGUUUUCUUUCUUUGUUGGUGUUUUUUGUUGGGUGUUUUGAUUUUGCCUUUCUUAUUUGGAUUUUACAUAUUCUUGUUAUUGUUUUAUAAAAUUUGGUUAGAGUACUCGCUUUUUAUAUCGACUACCCUUUUAA